GACGAACGCUGGCGGCGUGCCUAAUACAUGCAAGUCGAGCGCAGGAAGUCAUCCGAACCCUUCGGGGGGACGUUGACGGAAUGAGCGGCGGACGGGUGAGUAACACGUAAAGAACCUGCCCUCAGGUCUGGGAUAACCACGAGAAAUCGGGGCUAAUACCGGAUGGGUCAUCGGACCGCAUGGUCCGAGGAUGAAAGGCGCUCCGGCGUCGCCUGGGGAUGGCUUUGCGGUGCAUUAGCUAGUUGGUGGGGUAAUGGCCCACCAAGGCGACGAUGCAUAGCCGACCUGAGAGGGUGAUCGGCCACACUGGGACUGAGACACGGCCCAGACUCCUACGGGAGGCAGCAGUAGGGAAUCUUCCACAAUGGACGAAAGUCUGAUGGAGCAACGCCGCGUGAACGAUGAAGGCCCUCGGGUCGUAAAGUUCUGUUGUAAGGGAAGAACAAGUGCCGCAGGCAAUGGCGGCACCUUGACGUACCUACGAGAAGC
rnacentral:rRNA from 1 species